rnacentral:ncRNA from 10 species
CACCAGCAUCAGGAGCGACCCAUUAGGGUCCGGCAACCUAGCAACGGAGAUAGCUAAGGUGCCUUGAGAGUGAACAAUCAUUCUCGAUGUGCGGGUUCCAGUUGAGCCCGAAACAGAAACUCCGACGG